UACGUAGGGGGCUAGCGUUAUCCGGAAUUACUGGGCGUAAAGGGUGCGUAGGUGGUUUCUUAAGUCAGAGGUGAAAGGCUACGGCUCAACCGUAGUAAGCCUUUGAAACUGGGGGACUUGAGUGCAGGAGAGGAGAGUGGAAUUCCUAGUGUAGCGGUGAAAUGCGUAGAUAUUAGGAGGAACACCAGUUGCGAAGGCGGCUCUCUGGACUGUAACUGACACUGAGGCACGAAAGCGUGGGGAGCAAACAGG
rnacentral:rRNA from 1 species